GGAAGUGUAGCUCAGUGAUACAGCAUAUGCCUAGCAUGCACAAGAUCCUGAGUUCGAGUCCCAGUACCA
rnacentral:tRNA from 1 species